UACGUAGGGGGCAAGCGUUGUCCGGAUUCAUUGGGCGUAAAGAGCGUGUAGGCGGCCAGGUAGGUCGGUUGUGAAAACUGGAGGCUCAACCUUCAGAGGUCGACCGAAACCAUCUGGCUAGAGUCCGGGAGAGGAGAGUGGAAUUCCUGGUGUAGCGGUGGAAUGCGCAGAUAUCAGGAGGAACACCAAUAGCGAAGGCAGCUCGCUGGGACGGUACUGACGCUAAGGCGCGAAAGCGUGGGGAGCAAACAGG
rnacentral:rRNA from 1 species